rnacentral:rRNA from 1 species
AGGACGAACGCUGGCGGCGUGCUUAACACAUGCAAGUCGAGCGGUAAGGCUCCUUCGGGAGUACACGAGCGGCGAACGGGUGAGUAACACGUGAGCAAUCUGCCCUUCACUUUGGGAUAACUUCCGGAAACGGAAGCUAAUACCGAAUACGACCAUUACAGACAUCUGUUGAUGGUGGAAAGUUCCGGCGGUGAAGGAUGAGCUCGCGGCCUAUCAGCUAGUUGGUGAGGUAACGGCCCACCAAGGCGACGACGGGUAGCCGGCCUGAGAGGGUGACCGGCCACACUGGGACUGAGACACGGCCCAGACUCCUACGGGAGGCAGCAGUGGGGGAAUAUUGGACAAUGGGCGAAAGCCUGAUCCAGCAACGCCGCGUGAGGGAUGACGGCCUUCGGGUUGUAAACCUCUUUCAGCAGGGACGAAGCGAAAGUGACGGUACCUGCAAAGAAGCACCGGCCAACUACGUGCCAGCAGCCGCGGUAA